AGGGGGCGGUGUGGAACGUUAGGCGCCAUCUUGCCUGCUCUUUGUGGUGGGUCUUCUACUCACGGCCUCGGUCUCUGGAGUUUUUUUUUCCCCCGGACAUAUUCGUAGUCAGAAUGGGAAGGAAGAAGAAGAAGCAGCUGAAGCCCUGGUGCUGGUACUGCAACCGAGACUUCGAUGACGAGAAGAUCCUCAUCCAGCACCAGAAGGCCAAGCAUUUCAAAUGCCACAUCUGUCACAAGAAGCUGUACACCGGCCCAGGCCUGGCCAUCCACUGUAUGCAGGUACAUAAGGAGACCAUCGAUGCUGUGCCCAACGCCAUCCCUGGGAGGACAGACAUCGAGCUGGAAAUCUAUGGCAUGGAAGGCAUUCCUGAAAAAGACAUGGAGGAGAGAAGGAGAAUGCUUGAGCAGAAGACACAAGCUGAUGGACAGAAGAAGAAACAGGAUGACUCUGAUUAUGAAGAUGACGAUGAGUCCGGGCCAUCCAGCGCGUUCCCAUCUCAAAUGCAGGCCCAGCAGGGGUACAUGCCCGGUCUGCAUGGAUUAGCGGGAGCUCCAGGCAUGCCCCCAGGAAUCCCUCCUCUAAUGCCCACUGUGCCACUGAUGCAUGGGAUCCCGCCUGGCAUGCCAGGGAUGCCUCACGGGUUAGUAUCUCCUCUUGCUUUACUGUUUUGGUAUAAAGCCAUUUUCCUGGGUUUGACGCUUUCUCUCUUUUUUUCCAGGAUGUUACAGAUGGGUGGCUUGAUGCAUCACCAUGGCCCGGGAAUCCCCCCUAUGAUGGCUGGUUUGCCUCCAGGUGUGCCGCCACCGAUGGGCCCUCGUCCAGGGAUGCCUGCUAUUACUCAGGCUCAGCCCAUCUCAGCUCCAGGUGUUGGCAGACUUCCACCUCCCAGUACCUCUGCCCCAUCCAUGUCCUCUGUGCCCAAGCCACUAUUCCCCAGUGCUGGACAGAUGGGAUCACCAGUCACCAGUUCCUCCUCGUCCUCCGGCUCCGAGGGCCUCUCUGCACCCGCUAAAGUGCUCUUUCCUAGUGCUGCACAAGCUCCAGCGACAGUGGCCGGACCGGUGGGCACAGACUUUAAGCCCUUGAACAGUGCCACAGUUACAACAUCAGAACCUCCUAAACCAACGUUUCCCGCUUACACUCAGUCAACCAUGUCAACCACUAGCACCACAAAUAGCACUGCUGCUAAACCGGCUGCUUCCAUAACAAGUAAGCCCGCUACCCUGAGUACUACUAGUGCUACUAGUAAGUUGAUCCAUCCAGAUGAGGAUAUAUCACUGGAAGAGAAGCGUGCUCAGCUCCUGAAAUACCAGCGUAACCUGCCUCGGCCAGGACAGGCACCCAUGGGAGGUCUUUCAAGCCCUCUUGGAGCUAUGAUGGCACCACAGCCUGGCAUCCCACCUCAGCAGCCUGGCAUGAGGCAUCCAAUGCCCCCUCAUGGUCAGUUUGGGAGCCCGCACCAAGGCAUGCCAGGAUUUCACCCAGGGGCAAUACCUCCCUUUGGACAAGCACCACCUAUGGUCCCACAAUUCCAAGGUGGGCCCCCUCGACCGCUGAUGGGAAUGCGACCUCCUGUCAUGUCUCAAGGUGGCCGCUACUGACCAUGCUGCACGAUAAAUAGGUUUUUAGAAGUGGCGUAUAGUAAAUAUGGUUCGUUUAAUUGUGAAGGCGCCAAAUACCACCACAAGCACUGCCCUAGCACAGGCUGAGUCUGUGUUGCCCUGUUCAAUCUGAGGCAAGUGGCAUUUAUUUUCUUCAGGGGCCCUCACAGCCUUAGCUGUUGGAUAUAUAUGUCCCCAAACUUGCAGCAAGUUUGGUGAAGGCCCCUGCCAUUUUCUGUAAUGUAGGGCUUCUGCUGGUUCAAUGUUGUGUACGGAGAGUUGCUGCAUUAAAUCCCGGCCCCUCGGUGACCAGGCUCUGGCUGGGCAGUGCUUGGUGUUGUCAGUGCCACUGCUGACAGCACUGCGUACUCCAUGGCUGCUUCAGACUCUCAGCGUUACUGUCUAUGAACACAGCGCAUUCUAGGCCAUCACUGCCGCAGGGCCGUCUGACCUUGGAAGUCCAGGGUCAGGUUCUCGUGUGCUCUAGACAGUAAUGUCUCCUGUGGCUCAUGGUCUGUCCUCCAGAUUUCAGGCCUUCGGUGUCACAGUUUACAAGGGAUGUGCUGAAGCACGGAUAUGUCAUGUAUGUGCUUAAUGUUUCAUGCUCAAUAAAGUUACCUGUGUGACCAGGACCAGCUUCUUCCCUCACUGAACCAUCACACCCAGCAUCCACAGCAGGUCACCCCUCUAGACUCUCCAUGGUGACAGACCUGUAGUAUGUACUGGGUCUGUAACUGCACAGACCCUGGGGUUCAUAGGGGUUGUAUGUGUCCUGGGGCCCAUGUGGUGUCUGUGUGGGAGGCCUUGGCGCUUGCGCUGUGUGGUUUCUUGGCCUGUUAAAUUAAAACUACUGUGGACAGGACUGUCCGUGUGUCCAUACCAACCAGUUAUCUUAUAGUAAGCAGGAUGUUCAGCUCUCGUCAAAAAUUCCUCAUUUCAUCUCCGGACAUAAAAAACACUUGGUAUACCGUUAGGAGAGCACAUUGGAGGCCCCCUAGUGUGUAGACCUGGAGGCCCCCUAGUGUGUAGACCUGGAGGCCCCCUAGUGUGUAGACCUGGAGGCCCCCUAGUGUGUAGACCUGGAGGCCCCCUAGUGUGUAGACCUGGAGGCCCCCUAGUGUGUAGACCUGGAGGCCCCCUAACCCCUUCCCGACAUCCCCUGUACUUGUAUGACACAGCGGGAAGUUAGUCCCUGACAGCUGCCAUACACUCACUAAAUCAGCAGCAGUGGUUCUGCUGCAUCCACCGGCAUCGGUGACAACACAGAUGCCCGUGCAUUAACCCUUUGUAUGCUGGGUCACCACUGACCGCGGCAUGCACAGGGUUUGUGGAGGAGGGGGGGGGGGGGGGGGCUGCGAUAACUGGUAAGGCAGCCCUAUGCCUUAAAUGGGUGUCCGAGCCUACCCACUAUGGAAGCCCAUGAGAUCCAGUCCCAAGGAUAAGUCUCAUAGGCAUGCUGUCAGUGUAUUACAAUGACUGGCAAUACAUUACAAUACACAAUGCAUUGUAGAGGGGAACAGACCCCUGAAAGGUAAUGUCCCACAGUGGGACAAAAAUAAGUUGUCUGUGUUUGAUAAUUAAAAAAAUGAAGUUUCCAAUGGGGGAAAAAAAGCACCCUUUCCCCUCAUCAAGCCCUAUACAAUAAUAAAAAAAAAAAUGAAAAUAGACAUAAGUAUCUUCAUGUCCGUAAUGACCGGCUCUAUAAAAAUAUCACCCCAGGGAUCAGCAUCCUCUGCGCACUGCAGAUGUUCUAAAACUACGAAUCCCAGCAUGCUCCUUUAACUUCUAUGGGACUUACAAGAACAGAUGAGUAAGGGUGCAUGCUGGAUGUUGUAGUUUCAAAGCAGCUGGAGUGCCAAAGGUUGCUGAUACCCUGUCAGAUGAAAGGCAUAAAAAAAAACUGUAGUAGGGAGCGAUCAAAAAGUACAAUGUACCACUGAAAACGUCAAUUCAUCCAGCAAAAAAUAAGCCUCCACACAAGACGAUCGCCAGAAAAAUAUGGCUCAGAAAAUGACACUGCAUUCCUUUAAAAAAAUACUUAGUGUAGAAUUGGUACAACGUAAAAAAAUUAUAUAAAAUUGGUUUCUCUGUAAUCGUCCUGACCAGCAGAAUGAAGGAAACGUCACUUUAACCGCACGAUGUUCGCUGCAAUGGCAGAGUCCUUCUCUUUAUCCUGCUUCCCAAAAAGAUUGAUAAGUGAUAAAUCGUAUGUGACCAAAAUAGAAGCAAUGUUGACCUUGAAGAGCGAAAAUUAAAAUGUAUGGUUGUCUGAAAAUGGCUGCACUGGUGCCUGUAAACCGUUGCACCAAAAUCUGCCCUCCAAAAACCAUAUGGCGCUCCUUCUCUUCUGAUUCCUGCCGCGUGCCCAAACAGCAAUUUACCACCACAAAUGGGCCGAUGCUGCUUUCAGGAGGAAACGUUGACUUCAUCAUGUAAAUGCAGUUAAUACCAGGCCCUCACCUACUGUGUUCUUCCCUUCCCUUAUAGAUUGUAAGCUCUUGCGGGCAGGGUCUCUACCCCUAGUGUACCAGUCUGUUAAUAGUUUCUUGUACUUCUAUGUUUGUGUAACCCUGGCUGGAUGUACAGGAAAUGAAUGGCCCUUUAAAAUAAAUAAUGUAUUGUGCUUCUCCAUGUUGCCUCCUUUGCUGACUUUCAUUUUUCCAUCCCGUUUGAACAAGGCACGUUUCCUUGGUUAC